rnacentral:tRNA from 1 species
GGGGACUUAGCUCAGUUGGGAGAGCAUCCGCUUUGCAAGCGGGGGGUCAGGGGUUCGAAUCCCCUAGUCUCCA